rnacentral:rRNA from 1 species
AACGUAGGACACAAGCGUUAUCCGGAAUUACUGGGCGUAAAGGGAGUGCAGGCGGUUGCGUAAGUUAGGCGUGAAAGACUUCGGCUAACCGGGGGAGUCGUCUGAUACUGCGUAACUAGAGUGUGGUAGAGGCGUGUAGAAUUCCGGGUGUAGUGGUGAAAUGCGUAGAGAUCCGGAGGAAUACCAGUGGCGAAGGCGACACGCUGGGCCGUACCUGACACUGAUGCGCGACAGCAUGGGGAGCAAACAGG